GCCAAGCACUUCCAGGCGUUCCUGGUGGAUGGACUGGUGAGGUGGAACAAGGACCGCGCAGCGGCAGCUACACCACCACCGGCUGAGACCUCUGCACUCCUACAGUGGCCACCUCAAGCACGUCCUUAACCAGAAGAGCCAAAGAGUGCUUGGUUUUCAGGUGAUUAAGGACUUCACCGAGCCGGCUGAGUACACAGGGGAGCUCAUCGGAGUGGAGUACCUGUACCAGCAGACCGGCUUGAGGACGUCAGCCUGUACCCUGACACUCCGGACGAGGCUCCUGCCAUCGAGGCGCUGGAGGAGGAUGAGGGCAUCGAGGAAGACGUAGCGGACCGUACCGUCUUCGGGCCCGAUACUCCGUCCUCCAGCGCGGUAGCAGCCCGGUCAGGUGAUCCAGCUGACGCACCGUCUGAGCCAUCCCGUUCAGGUCAAGUUGCCCCUCCCGAGGCCCCAGAGGUUCAGGACCCUGAUCCCCAGCAGCCCUCCUCAGACUCUGAAGAGGACAUCCAGGGUCCUGAUGGCCAGCCCGGGUACCGGCACGUCCUGAAGCUGGCCCAAGCGCUGGUGGAAGGGAGGAACCUUCUGGGGCUGUCUGAGAGUAGGGUAGACAGACUCAUCCUGCUUUGGACUCGCUUGGCGGAGCAGGCCAAGCGGCGAGUCGACUACCCUCCCAGAUACCGGGAGAGGCAACCAAAGGGGCGGUUCAAGGCAGCGAAGGGGAAGAACACCUCCUGUGCUGGA